GUUUCCGUAGGUGAACCUGCGGAAGGAUCAUUCACAAACUAUUGACACAAACACACGCGAACCAAAUCGUCCGCACAGGUGGUGGCAAUGAAAGAGAGAAUAUAGCAAGCAGCACUCUUUUGCCAUCGCCUCUGUGCCGGGGCGUAAAUCUCAUGAGAGGAUGUGAGGGCACCACAGGAAAGCUUUUCACAGGGAAGUCGCCCAUCCUUCUCCCCUCCACGGCGGCGCUUCUGUGCUUGGCAGUUUUUUUUUUUUGCCUUUCCAGGGAGGAUGCCGCCAAUGGAGCCCCAUAUAAUAUAUACAUCAUCAUAUGCCCCUUUUUUUCUUAACCGCUUGCCACAGCUUCUUCUAUGAGGAGCUUGUGGGAAGACUGUCUCCAUACAAUAACAAAGAUACAACUCUUAGCGGUGGAUAUCUUGGUUCUCGCAACGAUGAAGAACGCAGCCAACUGCGAUAACUAAUGUGAAUUGCAGGACUUCGUGAAUCAUUAAGUCUUUGAACGCAAGUUGCGCUCAUCUCCAUGAGGAGGUGAGCAUGCCUGUUUGAGUGUCGAUGGGAAAAACAAUACAUAACAACAAUCGGCUCUCUUAUCUUCCUGCCUUCUUGGGGCAAAAGGUAGUGCAUGCCGGAGAUGGGCUUUGUCGCCCCUUUCUCUUGAAAGAGGCGUCGUCCGAAACACGUAUCGUUGCCCGCUGGAGGUCAUAGAGCAUGAGUUUAAAGCACCACAUCUCUCAAGUCAGAGUGAGCGUCUUGAGUAGGUCCGCAUUGAUUCAGUUUCAACCCAGGUGGCGUUGGUUACUUGCCAUAAGCCUCUCUGGGGUUUCUUUGCUUGGACCUCUCUUGUCAGUUUCUCUGACGUAGAGACAGGUGCCGUCUCAUGGGCGUUGCCCUCUGGGACGUGCUAAAAAAAAGAAAAAACCGUACCACAUGUCAAAAGAGGCAGAUUGUGCUUGACGGCGGGAGAUCUUGCAUUUCUUGCUUGUCCUGAGCGUCUGCCAGUCUCUGACGACGAGUGUGUUCCUUCCAUAAACCCGAUCUCAAAUCAGGUAGGACC
rnacentral:rRNA from 1 species